UGGGGAAUAUUGGGCAAUGGGCGCAAGCCUGACCCAGCAACGCCGCGUGAAGGAAGAAGGCUUUCGGGUUGUAAACUUCUUUUGUCAGGGACGAGUAGAAGACGGUACCUGACGAAUAAGCCACGGCUAACUACGUGCCAGCAGCCGCGGUAAUACGUAGGUGGCAAGCGUUGUCCGGAUUUAUUGGGUUUAAAGGGUGCGUAGGCUGUUUGUCAAGUCAGAGGUGAAAGGCCGCAGCUCAACUGUGGAAUUGCCUUUGAUACUGGCAGGCUUGAAUACUGUUGCCGUGGGAGGAAUGAGUAGUGUAGCGGUGAAAUGCAUAGAUAUUACUCAGAACACCGAUUGCGAAGGCAUCUCACGAAGCAGACAUUGACGCUGAGGCACGAAAGCGUGGGGAUCAAACAGGAUUAGAUACCCUGGUAGU
rnacentral:rRNA from 1 species